GUCCAGGGGUUGGCUCCACUGUUGGUACAAGGUCUGACCCCUCAUUUGGAAUUUAAUGACCUCCCAUGCUGGCCCUGGCCAAGCACAUGCCUUCACAGCAUCUCCGGGAAAAGGGAACACAAAAUGGGAGUGUAAAGGGGUGCAAAACAGGUAUAAAGCACAACAGGUUGUAUUUGACGCCACAUUUUAUUGUGCAUGCUCACUCAAAACUCUGGGUUUGAGGCUUGUCCAAGCUUUGUGGAGGAUUUUGUGUGCUUCAGUCAGCCAGAGAGAAGAAGCACCCAGGAAAAGCUGCCUGGAUGGAUGCAGCCCCUUUGGAGACAUCUCAGUGGUGGAUGAGCAGGGAGCAAAGCCAAGCACAGAAAUCCCUGUAGUGCCUGGGGCUGGGACCAGCUGUGCUCAAGCACUGGCCUAGCUCGGGGGGCUGGCGGGAGCCACUCACGGCUUGGUCUCUUCUGGGCUCUCGUUGGUGCCCCAAGGACCACCAGGAAGCCCCCAGCCAGAUGCUAGCUGUGCCCUCAACUUCACACCCUUCAGCCCUUUGUCACCCAGGGAAGGUGACAAUCCUGCACAGCUAAAAGCCCCUGAAAAGCACCACUGAGGGCACAGCCUCACCAUUUGCAGCAGGUCCUCGUCUCCGUGAUGUUCAGGCAGUGCUCCCAGGGUGCAGAGACCACAAGCUGGGGAUUUGCUCUGCUCCCUGCCAAG